AAGAUCAUACUUCACAGGAUCAUUUCUGUAGUAUAUCUUCGCAUACUCUUCACAAAUGUGUUGAGUUAUUGCAACCAUGAUGAUGUGACACAGUUCUGCAUCUUGAGCGUGAGGCUGCAACAUGGUGCACUUUUGCCGGGUGCCCAUGUUGUCACGAUGAUCGUUCAGAUCACCUUUGGUGGUUUUACGGAUGUGGGACAUUCUGAGUGGU